rnacentral:rRNA from 1 species
AGUGGGGAAUUUUGGACAAUGGGGGCAACCCUGAUCCAGCCAUGCCGCGUGAGUGAAGAAGGCCUUCGGGUUGUAAAGCUCUUUCGGCCGGAACGAAAUCGCAUCCUCUAAUACGGGGUGUGGAUGACGGUACCGGAAGAAGAAGCACCGGCUAACUACGUGCCAGCAGCCGCGGUAAUACGUAGGGUGCGAGCGUUAAUCGGAAUUACUGGGCGUAAAGCGUGCGCAGGCGGUUCGCUAAGACAGGUGUGAAAUCCCCGGGCUUAACCUGGGAAUGGCGCUUGUGACUGGCGGGCUGGAGUACGGCAGAGGGAGGUGGAAUUCCACGUGUAGCAGUGAAAUGCGUAGAGAUGUGGAGGAACACCGAUGGCGAAGGCAGCCUCCUGGGCCAGUACUGACGCUCAUGCACGAAAGCGUGGGGAGCAAA